rnacentral:rRNA from 1 species
GAUGAACGCUGGCGGCGUGCCUAAUACAUGCAAGUCGAGCGAACAGACGAGGAGCUUGCUCCUCUGACGUUAGCGGCGGACGGGUGAGUAACACGUGGAUAACCUACCUAUAAGACUGGGAUAACCUCGGGAAACCGGAGCUAAUACCGGAUAAUAUAUUGAACCGCAUGGACCAAUAGUGAAAGACGGUUUUGCUGUCACUUAUAGAUGGAUCCGCGCCGCAUUAGCUAGUUGGUAAGGUAACGGCUUACCAAGGCGACGAUGCGUAGCCGACCUGAGAGGGUGAUCGGCCACCCUGGAGCUGAGCCACGGUCCAGGCUCCUGCGGGAGGCAGCAGUAGGGAAUCUUCCGCAAUGGGCGAGAGCCUGACGGAGCAACGCCGCGUGAGUGAUGAAGGUCUUCGGAUCGUAAAACUCUGUUAUUAGGGAAGAACAAAUGUGUAAGUAACUAUGCACGUCUUGACGGUACCUGAUCAGAAAGCCACGGCUAACUACGUG